rnacentral:lncRNA from 1 species
AUUUAGAUAAUACAAUUAUUAUUGUUUAUUACUUUUAAAAUUAAAUAGAAUUAACUAUUUUUUCUUAAAAAAAUGUAAAAUAGUUUUUUUUUUCCACAUUUUUUUGUAUAUGUAGAAAUGGAGGGAGUAAGGGUGAAAGUGUGUAUUCUUGUUUAGAAAUAAGUGUAAAAAGACUAUUUCUAAAAGGCCAUUUUUAAGAACGGGAGGGAGUAAUGAGAAAGAAUCGUAAGCAGAACUUAUCUUAAUAAUACACUCCUUAAAACACUAUUGCAACACACACUAUAAACACUCGAAAAUCAAAUUGGUUAUUGAAUAGAAAAGAACCAAAUUGAUUAUAAUGAAUUUACGUGAAAUCUAUAUAAUUUAAUUAGAUCCACUUAAAUCUUACACCUUUAGGUAGUUUAUGUUAAACAAAAUGUAUUAAAGGAGUUGAAUUAAGUGCAAUGUGAAUGCACACUAACACAUAUAUCUCAAUUGUCUAAUCAUUAUUGGACAUCAAAAUUUUAAAAUAUAUUACUUCAUUUGUCUUAAAAUAAGUUAGUUAUUUAAUUAUUUCAAAUAUAUUAAAAAAUGUAUAAAAAAAAUGAAAAAAAAAUAUUAUUUUUAUCAAAUUAUUUUUAUUAAAUAUUAAUAUAUUAUUAAUAUCAUAAAUAUAUAAUAAAAGAUAUUAUAUUAAAAAAAAGUAUAUUGAAAAUUAAAAAUAUUAAAAUACUGGUUUGAAAAAUUUUAAAAUACUUUUUUAUAAAUAAAUCAAUUAUUUUGAGACAAACAUCAGUUGUUUAAAUCUAAAUUACUGGAAUUAAAAUCUGAAUCAUAUUUGUAUUGAAAUAAAGUUGUAAGUUAAAAUCUGAAUCACUUAGAAGGGUUGUGAAUGGACAUAAUCCAAAUCCAUAUUUAGAGUAUAGGUAGCACUUGUGAAACACUAAAGAAAACGUGGAGCCGCUGAUGAGUUACGAGUGGUUUUAUAGGAGUUAGAGUAUGAGGUCACACGCUAGAUGAAAUCAUGGGACCCAUAAUAGUGCCAAUAAAGUCAAAGGAAUUCAACUUGAAUGAAAUCACGUGAGAUUCUUACAGGCUGGUAGUGGGGCCUUCUUACGUGGAGGAUGUUCAAAUCAUAUUCCAACCUGCUCUUUUUAUUUUAUUUUCUUCAAAGGAUUUGGAUUUCAUUUCUUUUUAUCGUUGUCAAAUUUUUUUACAGUAAAUUAUAUUCUUUUUCAUAUAUUAAAUUCUAUUAGUAAUCGUAAAUAUUAAAUAUUUAUCUUUAAUAAACAUUAUAUUUUAAUAUGAUACUAUGUUUUUAAGGUACAUAUUUUAUUUUAGGAGAGCAAAAAUCUUUUUAAAUAUAGUAACAGAGGUUUGCGUUUUCAAAUUGCAGCUUGUGACCUCAAAUGCUAUAACAUAAUUGUACUCACUCAUUUCUAAGCGUAUUUCUUUUAAAAAACAUUUAUUUAUUUUAAAGUUUCAAGUAGUAAUUUUUUAUUGUUUUGUUAAAAAUAAAUCUAAUUAUUUAUCAUAGAAAAAUAAAUAAUUUAAAAU